AUAUUUUUCAUUGUUGAGGGUGCGUAGCCCUUCUGGAACAGGUAUGUUGGCCAACCACGCAACUUGUCCAUUUAGGUCAGGAACCUUAGGUCACUGGAGACCAUCUUGGAGGGUAGGCCAGCAGCCAUGUUGAGGCAAAAACGGAGAGCAUGGCUGGAUGACUGCUUUGCAUUGUCUCUGUCCUUCCUUCGGCGGACUGUUUUUUUGGUUAGAGAGCAGCGAGUCUGAAGCAACAGAGGAAUAACAAGUGAAGAGUUGUAAUAGUAGAGUGCGCAAAACUUCAUGAAGCUUGUGUUUUUUAACGAUUGUUUGCUCAACAGUCAAAGUAUAAAAGGACAAGUUCAUAUUAAGAGCUUGCUUUGCAUUGUCUCUGUCCUUCCUUCCCGUCCGUGGCCCCAAGUGAAACUUGAAAAAGUCUUUACAUAAAAACAUGUGCCCUUCUUUAGCUUGACGACGUGCUCCCUCUUUUGAGCAGACAGAGGUGCUUUUAGCGGGGAGGGUGUCUGUUGCUGCAAUGCGAUCAAACCUUUUUUUCCAGCUGCCGUAACCUGGAAUCCAACUGCUCACAGUUGCUUUUGCAGUCCCUUGACAUUGAACCAGUCGAGUGUGGACUGUUGCCACUCAAGUGCCCCAGUAGGUUUACUGAAGGAAGUACGCUCUCACUUGACGGGGGAGGCAUGGACCCACACAGGGCGGUGAAAGGGAUUUGGUGACUGGGAGAGGAGUUUUGGGCCUCAGAAACAGAGGUGGAAGGAAGUGGCUGACCAGUAUUUUGAGGAAGGACACUGGAGGAGGACAUGGUGUAAACGUCAUCCUGUCCUUGUGGUAUAGGGGUGGAACAUUGGUUAGCGGAAUGGAUUCCAGUCGGAGGAUGAUUCUUGAAGGAUGAAUUGCCACUCAAGGCUUCCUCCUCCUCCUCCUCCUCCUCCAUGUACUCUGAUCCCUCUGGCUCCUCCCUCAGUUCCUUGGAAACAGCCUUCUCAAUGAUUUCUCCAAUAGGCCUAUUCCUCAUUUUCAGUGGUAAUUCCCAAGUCCAAGCUGGAUACCAUGGUUGGACUCACGCA
rnacentral:lncRNA from 1 species